GAAGCUCUGAUGUGACGGAUUUGUUCCUGCUCUGUCAAAGCCAUGGCGGUGAAGCUGAUCGUUCCUCCUGAACACAACAGGCUGAUGAGGCCUGUGCAGCGGAAAGGACCUCUGGGCAAGAGGAGCUCCAAAGACUUUUCCACUCCACUGAUGGCCUUCAUAAUGAGCAGGCUGCAUGUUGUGGAAACAAAAACUCAGCGUUUUGGACAUGGAGAUACUCCAGUCAGAUGCCCUGCAAGGAGGUGCCUGAAUCGGUUUCUGGUAAGAUGCAGUGAGGCAGACAACUGACUGGCUGUUUCCGUCGCUCAGUCCAGCCGUCUUCUGCUGCCGUUACGGAUUUUGGUCCGGAUCUCAUUCCAGUUGGACAGAAAACAUCUCACCUGAGAGCAGUUUGGGAGGCUUCACUAACCCGUCAGGAGAACGAAGCAUUAAACCCUCCGAAAGCAACCGAACUCGUCUUCUUAGAGUGGAAGCAAAAGAACUUUUUUCAAAAAAAAAAAAAAAA